rnacentral:rRNA from 1 species
AAAACAGGUAUGUACAAGCUAUUUAAGAGGGCCAAGAAGGCGGAAUAGCCUCGCUUAUACAGUUUCUGACUGCUAACAGUGCCAUCAUCAAUGAGCUUCACUCUAAAGUCUGUUCAUGGGAGGGUUGGGCUUCCUUCAAUGCUAGGGAUGAAAUUGGAGAAUAAACAAGGGGUUGACAUGCUUGUGAAGUUCUAUUAGUGCCAUCAUCAAUGAGCUUCACUCUAAAGUCUGUUCAUGGGAGGGUUGGGCUUCCUUCAAUGCUAGGGCUGAAAUUGGAGAAUAAUUAAACAAGGGGUUGACAUGCUUGUGAAGUUCUAUUAGGACAGCGUCUCCCCGUGUUCUCGAUCCGGCGCCGCCACAUAUCAUGAUUCUGGAUUGGGCGCAGGUCAUCGCCAUAAGAGAGCCUGGCUGGUGUGGUCUUCAUGCUUGGUGUGGAGAAGCACGGGGGAUGAGUAGGACGGGCAUGGGGAAGGAGCAGCUAGGCCGGAGCUCCGGCGUUGUUCGCGUCAUGGUCGAAUGGAGCCGGCCAUCACUAUGGGCUGCUGCUCGCCGGUCGUCGUUUAUCCAAUCUCAGUUGCUCAUCUUUGGCUUCACCAUCUUCCUCCCCUGAUCAUGCAUCUAUUUUAGAUCAUAUAAUU